rnacentral:misc_RNA from 1 species
GUGUAGCCGACAGGGCUCCCCUGAACACAUCGUCAACCCCAUACAGUCCGCCAGGCUCAGGAGUGACAAAGCCUUCAACUUCAAGUACGGCAAAAUGGAGGUCAGGGCCAAAAUGCCCAAAGGAGACUGGAUCUGGCCAGCUAUCUGGCUGCUGCCUCAUAGAAAUGCAUAUGGAGGCUGGCCCGCUUCUGGCGAAAUUGACGUAGUGGAAUCUAGAGGCAACACAGACUACCAUGAUGAGAAUGGUAGAAGUCAGGGAGUGGACAGUUUUGGGAGCACUCUUCAUUUUGGACCAGUAUAUGGCUAUGACCCUUACGAGAAAGCUCAUGGAGAAUUGCAAGACAAUUCCAAGUGGAACUCUGAAUGACGAUUUCCAUAUCUGGACACUGGAAUGGGAUGAAGAACAUAUCAAGGUGUCGUUUGAGGGACAGGAAGUCAUGAACGUGUCUCCUCCCCCCGAGGGAUUCUGGAAGCUGGGAGAACUGGACAAAACCAACAUCAACAACCCAUACAAGUACACCAACAACAAAAUGGCACCGUUUGAUCAGGAGUUUUUCAUCAUACUGAAUGUAGCUGUGGGAGGUGUGGGCUUCUUCCCAGACAAGUUCAGGAACUCUCCCUACCCCAAACCCUGGAAUGACAAGUCAGAGUUCACCGCACGGGACUUCUGGAACCACAAGAGUCAGUGGUACCCCACCUGGAACCCAGACCAGAACGACGGAGAGCAGGCCGCCAUGCAGGUGGACUACAUCAGAGUGUGGAAGAUGAAGCCAUAAUAAACAGUUUGAUAGGGAAAUAAAUUCAUAAUAGACAAUUUUAUAGUGAAAUAAAAUUUUGUUAUAAA